GACGAACGCUGGCGGCGUGCUUAACACAUGCAAGUCGAGCGGGUAAGGCCCUUUCGGGGGUACACGAGCGGCGAACGGGUGAGUAACACGUGGGUGACCUGCCCUCAGCUCUGGGAUAAGCCCGGGAAACUGGGUCUAAUACUGGAUAUGACUCCAUGACGCAUGUUGUGGGGUGGAAAGCCUUGUGCGGCUGGGGAUGGGCCCGCGGCCUAUCAGCUUGUUGGUGGGGGAUGGCCUACCAAGGCGACGACGGGUAGCCGGCCUGAGAGGGCGACCGGGCCACACUGGGACUGAGACACGGCCCAGACUCCUACGGGAGGCAGCAGGUGGGGAAUCUUGCGCAAUGGGCGAAAGCCUGACGCAGCGACGCCGCGUGA
rnacentral:rRNA from 1 species